rnacentral:rRNA from 1 species
GACGAACGCUGGCGGCGUGCUUAACGCAUGCAAGUCGAACGGAAAGGCCCUGCUUUUGUGGGGUGCUCGAGUGGCGAACGGGUGAGUAACACGUGAGUAACCUGCCCUUGACUUUGGGAUAACUUCAGGAAACUGGGGCUAAUACCGGAUAGGAGCUCCUGCUGCAUGGUGGGGGUUGGAAAGUUUCGGCGGUUGGGGAUGGACUCGCGGCUUAUCAGCUUGUUGGUGGGGUAGUGGCUUACCAAGGCUUUGACGGGUAGCCGGCCUGAGAGGGUGACCGGCCACAUUGGGACUGAGAUACGGCCCAGACUCCUACGGGAGGCAGCAGUGGGGAAUAUUGCACAAUGGGCGGAAGCCUGAUGCAGCAACGCCGCGUGCGGGAUGACGGCCUUCGGGUUGUAAACCGCUUUCGCCUGUGACGAAGCGUGAGUGACGGUAAUGGGUAAAGAAGCACCGGCUAACUACGUGCCAGCAGCCGCGGUGAUACGUAGGGCGCGAGCGUUGUCCGGAUUUAUUGGGCGUAAAGGGCUCGUAGGUGGUUGAUCGCGUCGGAAGUGUAAUCUUGGGGCUUAACCCUGAGCGUGCUUUCGAUACGGGUUGACUUGAGGAAGGUAGGGGAGAAUGGAAUUCCUGGUGGAGCGGUGGAAUGCGCAGAUAUCAGGAGGAACACCAGUGGCGAAGGCGGUUCUCUGGGCCUUUCCUGACGCUGAGGAGCGAAAGCGUGGGGAGCGAACAGGCUUAGAUACCCUGGUAGUCCACGCUGUAAACGGUGGGUACUAGGUGUGGGGUCCAUUCCACGGGUUCCGUGCCGUAGCUAACGCUUUAAGUACCCCGCCUGGGGAGUACGGCCGCAAGGCUAAAACUCAAAGGAAUUGACGGGGCCCCGCACAAGCGGCGGAGCAUGCGGAUUAAUUCGAUGCAACGCGUAGAACCUUACCUGGGUUUGACAUGGAUCGGGAGUGCUCAGAGAUGGGUGUGCCUCUUUUGGGGUCGGUUCACAGGUGGUGCAUGGCUGUCGUCAGCUCGUGUCGUGAGAUGUUGGGUUAAGUCCCGCAACGAGCGCAACCCUUGUUCACUGUUGCCAGCACGUUAUGGUGGGGACUCAGUGGAGACCGCCGGGGUCAACUCGGAGGAAGGUGGGGAUGACGUCAAGUCAUCAUGCCCCUUAUGUCCAGGGCUUCACGCAUGCUACAAUGGCUGGUACAGAGAGUGGCGAGCCUGUGAGGGUGAGCGAAUCUCGGAAAGCCGGUCUCAGUUCGGAUUGGGGUCUGCAACUCGACCUCAUGAAGUCGGAGUCGCUAGUAAUCGCAGAUCAGCAACGCUGCGGUGAAUACGUUCCCGGG